UGUAUUGACAGUAAAAUCAUAUGUUACAACCUAAAAUUCUUAUUUUAUUUUUUAAAUAUCUCUGUAUCCCUUUGAACAAUAUCGAUUUUAAUUUGUUGAUUAUAAAAGGCAUAUAUAGUCUGUUAUAUAAACUUCAUUACUGUCCUUGAACUUCGUUUAGUGGGCCGUGCAAUGUAUGGAGAGUGGCUCAUGUCCUUUGUUUCGAUGAAGUAGGAUUACCGCUGCCAACAAUAAUAGCUGGGUCACAGCCGGUGCAAAGGAUUUUUCUAAAUUUCCACAGACAAAAUCUCCAUUGGAAGCAUUUGCGUAGCAAAAUUUUCUCCAAGCGACACCUAAGCUCGACCUUAUUCAAUUUAUUUACAGAAAGAAUCUAAAUACUAUCUAAAUGGAUUCGGCGUAGAAUGUUCAUGUUCGUGAGUACUGUAUAUAUUCAAUGCACAUUUAGUACGUGUAUCGUACAUGCCCGAACUGGAAACCGAAGUCGCUUGAAAAUUCAGCCUUCGCUCCCGGCACCACGGAGGGUUGUACAAACUAGGGCUGUCACGACAUUACCGAAAUUCAAACGAAUAUUAGGACUACAACAGUUCAGCAGUGCUAGUUUAUGAAAACAAUGUAUAGACUUUGUGUGUUAAUUUUAUUAUCCUAAUAGACUAGUUAUGCAUUAAAACUAUUUUUACUAUUUAA